AACGAACGCUGGCGGCAUGCCUAACACAUGCAAGUCGAACGAAAACUUCGGGUCUAUUGGCGCACGGGUGCGUAACGCGUGGGAACCUGCCCUUAGGUUCGGCAUAACUCCCCGAAAGGGGUGCUAAUACCGGAUAAUGUCUUCGGACCAAAGAUUUAUCGCCUUUGGAUGGGCCCGCGUUGGAUUAGCUAGUUGGUAGGGUAAAAGCCUACCAAGGCGACGAUCCAUAGCUGGUCUGAGAGGAUGAUCAGCCACACUGGGACUGAGACACGGCCCAGACUCCUACGGGAGGCAGCAGUGGGGAAUAUUGGACAAUGGGCGAAAGCCUGAUCCAGCAAUGCCGCGUGAGUGAUGAAGGCCUUAGGGUUGUAAAGCCCUUUUACCCGGGAUGAUAAUGACAGUACCGGGAGAAUAAGCUCCGGCUAACUCCGU
rnacentral:rRNA from 1 species